ACCAUCCUUAAUAAUGGUUAAUAAUGAGGUUCAAAAUCAAGAAAGAUCAUGGUUAUCACUUCUUUUUUUCUCUUUGUCUUCCAAAUGAACAAGCAAAUUAUUAGGAACAAGAAAGAAAAAUAGAACCAAAGUUAAAAAAAGUACUCCACUAACACUAUUUUUACAUUGUAAAUUUCUCAAAUCAUAAUCAAAGGGUUCCAAUAAAUCAACCCCCUUUUUUUUUCUCUUCAUAAAUUUGUAUGUGUGAAAUUUCAGAACCACCAAAGUCCAAAACUACCACACAUCCAAAAAAAAAAAAAAACAUAAAAAUCUACAAAUUAUAAACUCUUGAAAAUGAAUUAACUUGAAACUUCAUCCAAGAGACACAUCCAAAAAAAAAAAAAACAUAAAAAUCUACAAAUUAUAAACUCUUGAAAAUGAAUUAACUUGAAACUUCAUCCAAGAGCUUAUAUCUUCUUACCCUAUUUUUAAAUACCUUUCUUGUGAUCCCUCUAUUCGACAUUUCUUCUGAUUUUGUCCUCCUUACUUUUUCUUCAAUAUUUAUAUCAUCAAUUAUGACCCUUUUUCUAGCAGCCAAUAAAGGAGACUUUUGUAAUUUGAUGGGAUUUUUGUCGAUAAGUUGAACCUUCAAAUUACAAUUAGAACCCAUUAUUUUCCCCUUUGGACUUGUUCUUCCAAUAAAAUCAUUAUUUUCAUUCCUAAUGAUCAAUUUUUUCUUCAACUUUGGACCAUCUUGAAUAAUAUUUUGAUCACUUGUAGUAUUUUUACAUGAUGAUGAAGAAUUUGAUGAAUUUUGUGUUUUUUCUCCAGAAACAUCUUUUGGACUCAAGCACCAAUUGCAAAUUUUAUAAGACUCAGCUUUUGGAUACAAAUUGCUACAAUAUCUG
rnacentral:lncRNA from 1 species